rnacentral:rRNA from 1 species
UUGUAAUCUCAAGAAGUGUUUUCCGCUUCGGACCAUGCCUAAGUCCCUUGGAAAAGGGCAUCAUAGAGGGUGAUAAUCCCGUACAUGGCAUGGAGCGCCCGAAGCUUUGUGAUACGCUUUCUACGAGUCGAGUUGUUUGGGAAUGCAGCUCAAAAUGGGUGGUAAAUGCCAUCUAAGGCUAAAUAUUGGGGAGAGACCGAUAGCGAACAAGUACAGUGAUGGAAAGAUGAAAAGAACUUUGAAAAGAGAGUUAAACAGUACGUGAAAUUGCCAAAAGGGAAGGGUAGGAGGUCAGAGAUGCGUCUUGGGAUUCAGCCUUGCUUUUGCAUGGUGUUUUUCCCAAGUUGCAGGCCAACGUCGGUUUUGGGCACUGGAGAAGGGUAGGAGGAACGUGGCACCUCUCGGGGUGUGUUAUAGCCUCCUACUGGAUACAGCGACCGAGACCGAGGAACGCAGCGUACUCGUAAGAGCGGGCCUUUUGGCACCUUUACGCUUAGGGCGUUGGCAUAAUGGCCCUCUACCACCCGUCUUGAAACACG